GUUUAAUUCAGCGCCCUUUACAGCAUGUUCAGUCUGCGAAGUUACUAGCGUCGCUGCCAUGUAUCGUCCGCUAUUUCGGUUCUCGCGAGACUCGGAUCAACCGCGUAACAAUACGAAGUUGCUCAACCAGAGCCCUAGAGCAGGACCACCGCUCACCAGUGAGUAGUUUCAUAAGAAGGAGCAGACCUUCUGCGGCCUGAAGGGGUUGGUGCUGGAGGACACGCCGGUGAGCAGAGGGUCGUGUAAGGCGUUCUGUAUGCAGAACUGUUGAAGCUCUGCAGCUGCCUGGGAAACCUGGACAUAAAGCAAGACAAUGGGACAGACUUCACAGUGUCAGCCCUUUACGCUGAAAAACAAAACCACGUGACGUGGUUUCAAAGGAUAUGUCAUUUGUAAAUGCUUGAUUCGUGAUUGUGAGGAACACCUGAAAAAUGACCACCCUCUACACUAAUAAACUAUUAAACUACA